rnacentral:rRNA from 1 species
UGUAAGCGUAUACCAAAGUUGUUGCAGUUAAAACGCUCGUAGUCGGAAUUUGGCAGUUCCGGAAGUGUGCACGUCGUGUGCGCACUUUGCGGGGACUGCUUUUGUGGUCUUGCGUAGGAUGAGGCACUUUCAUUAGUGAACGUCCUCACGCAACCACUCUUUACUGUGAGAAAAUCAGAGUGCUCAAAGCAGGCAUUUGCCGUGAAUGUAUUAGCAUGGAAUAAUAGAAUAGGACUCGGUUCUAUUUUGUUGGUUUGUUGGGACUGAGUAAUGAUUAAGAGGGACAGUUGGGGGCAUUUGUAUUCCGUCGCUAGAGGUGAAAUUCUUAGAUUGCCGGAAGACAAACUGCUGCGAAAGCGUCUGCCAAGGAUGUUUUCAUUGA